rnacentral:lncRNA from 10 species
GGGUUAGGCAUGUCUGAGCUCAGACUCUCCUUGGGUGGGGCUUGCCGUGGCUGCUGUGGGGGAUGGGAUGUUGUUUCCAGUCCAGUUGAAUUAUGUUCCUGGGAAAUUAUGGCUACCUCUGCUGUGUCACAUAGGUUGCCAAGGAAGUGGGAGAAAGCCAGCAGCCACAAGCCUCACCCAGCUCCCAUGGAGCCUGCAGCCUGCAGCUUGAAAGGCCAGCCUCAUUCCCACUGUGCCCCCACAACAGCACCGAAGCACCGAGUUUAUUUCCAGGCAGGCAGUGAGCAGGGCUGAGAAAUUGCCCCAGGCUACAAGCCUCCCAGCUGAGAAAGCAAGCAGACUCACAGUUCCUUGGCUGUCCCAUGCAGCCUGCAGCAGCAAUCCACCCCCUUUAAAGUGUCUGUGGAUUCUUUCAGCUUUUUUGGUAUGUUCCUAUGGUAGUUCUUGGGGCAAAAUUUCACAGUGUGAGUCUCCAAAUGCUGCUUUGUCUGUUCAAGUGGGAACUGCAAGUUAGUCCUGCUUCCUAUCUGCCAUUUUUUCCCGGUCUGUCUACAUUUUUAUACAGUUCAUCUUUUACAUGCUAGUAAAAGUAAUACUGUGCUUUAAAGUUUUUUUUGUUUGUUUGUUUGCUUGCUUGUUUGUUUUUAAAUAGGAAGGAGAAUCUGAUGUUUUUUGUUUGUUUGUUUGAGACAGAGUCUUGCUCUGACACCCAGGCUGGAGAGCAGUGGUACAAUCUUGGCUCACUGCAACCUCUGUCUCCCAGGUUCAAGCAAUUCUCCUGUCUCAGCCUCCCGAGUAGCUGGGAUUACAGUCAUGUGCCCCUGUGUCCAGAAUUGGUUCCUUCUGGUGGGUUCUUGGUCUUGCUGUCUUCAAGAAUGAAGCCGUGGACCCUCGUCAUGAAUGUUACAGUUCUUAAAGAUGAAGAGAACAGCAUCAGGGCACAUUGAGGCUCAGAAAUUUAUAUUCCAAGAAGAGGUGCACAGGAACAGAGCAGAUCCAAAGCAGACAACCACCUGGAAGCAGUCAUAACAACAGCAAUAGCAAAUCAAUGCUGACUCCAACACUAAGCAUUCACCUGGAGAUAACCUACAGAGAUACUCUGUGUUACCCACAACUAGUCUGUUGACUAAGUUGGUGAAUAUAUUUGGGAAAAGCCCAUGUGGAAGAAUGGAAGCCUGCAUUAUCUUUCUCAGAGACAGACAGGAAGGUGACUCUAUGGAAGACAUCAGCGAUAAACUAGGAAGGAGUGACACGGCAAUAAUAGGGGAAUCAUCAUUUAUCCCAAAGCUAAUAAUGAAGUGGAGCUUCAGAGUCAUUUACUUUCAAUGGAGUGUCAUUGUAGUGACCAUGGACAUUUAUGAAGUCUUGCUAAAUAAAAGUUGAGUUGAGGACCCUUUUAUGGGAUGUAUUUAGGUGAUUCACAGACUCUCAUAGUAACAGCCCUACCCUCAGAUAUGUAGCAGAAGAUACCCCGCAGCAGAAGUAUUUGGGUAACAGAGGAUGUGGUGGUCAAUUUUCAGUGUCAGCUUUACUGGAUUAAGGAUUACCUGGAGAACUGGUAAAGAAUUAUUUCUGGGUAUAUCUGUGAGGGCAUUUCCAGAGGGGAUUGAAGUGUGAGUCAGUGGACUGAGUGGGGAAGAUAUGCCCUAAAUGUAGGAAGGCACUAUUCAAUCAGCUAGGGGCCUUGAUAGAAUAAAAAGGUGAUUUUUCUCUCUUUUUUUGGAGCUGGGGUAUACUUUUCUCUUAUUCUUGGACAUCAGAACUGCAGGCUCUCUGGCUUUUGGACUCCAGGACUUACACAAGUGACCCCUGGGCUCUCUUGCCUUGAACUGAAUUUACACCAUUGGCUUCACAGUUCCUGAGGGCUUUGGACUUGGACUGAGCCAUGCUACCAGCUUCCCUGGGUCUCUAGCUUGCAGAUGGCCUGUCCUGACACUUCGCAGCCUCCAUAAUCACAUAAGCCAAUUCUCCUAAUAAAUUCUCUCUCAUCUCUCUCUGUAUAUAUCCUGUUGGUUCUGUCUCUCUGGAGAACCCUGAUGAAUACAGAGGAGAAACAAGGUUUAAAAUGAGCUGAAGCAAAAGCAGAUUACCCAUGAAAAAAUCUUCCAACUCUUACAGUAUAUCUAUAUCUAUAUCUGAUUUGAAAAAAAAGUGUAUAUAUGAUAUUUAUUAGAAUUUGUUCCAAAUUUGAUGACAAUCACAAAAGUUUACAUCAAAAGUACCAAAAACAAAUUUGAAUCUGGAAGAAACAUUUCCAAAUGAUCAAUAAUUUAAAAAAAUUCAUUACUCAUGUUAGAGGAAAAACAAUCUAUUAACAAAUCAAUGUUGUAUAAAAAGGUGAUCAAAGAGCAUGUAGCCAAAAAAUGUGAGAAAUAAAAACAUGAAAGAA